UACAGAGGUCCCAAGCGUUGUUCGGAUUCACUGGGCGUAAAGGGUGCGUAGGUGGUGAGGAAAGUCGGAUGUGAAAUCCCGAGGCUCAACCUCGGAACUGCGUCUGAAACUACUCGACUAGAGUACUGGAGAGGGUAACGGAAUUCACGGUGUAGCAGUGAAAUGCGUAGAUAUCGUGAGGAACACCAGAGGCGAAGGCGGUUACCUGGACAGUUACUGACGCUCAGGCACGAAAGCAUGGGGAGCAAAAGGG
rnacentral:rRNA from 1 species